AGAAACUUGAUAGCCCUGAGGCAC
rnacentral:siRNA from 1 species